AUACGUAGGGGGCGAGCGUUGUCCGGAAUGACUGGGCGUAAAGGGCGUGUAGGCGGCCGAUUAAGUCUGGAGUGAAAGUCCUGCUUUCAAGGUGGGAAUUGCUUUGGAGACUGGUUGGCUUGAGUGCGGAAGAGGUAAGUGGAAUUCCCAGUGUAGCGGUGAAAUGCGUAGAGAUUGGGAGGAACACCAGUGGCGAAGGCGACUUACUGGGCCGUAACUGACGCUGAGGCGCGAAAGCGUGGGGAGCGAACAGGAUUAGAUACCCUGGUAGUCCACGCGGUAAACGAUGAAUGCUAGGUGUAGGGGGUAUCGACCCCUCCUGUGCCGGAGUGAACACAAUAAGCAUUCCGCCUGGGGAGUACGGCCGCGAGGUUGAAACUCAAAUGAAUUGGCGGGG
rnacentral:rRNA from 1 species